CUCCUCUCAGAGUCGCACUUGGAGAGUUUCUAGUACUCUACCGGUCUCGACUAUGGGAGGGAGAGUCAAGCAGAGGCCUACUCGUUCCAUUCCCGGCUUGGCCAGUGGCUAGCGAGUGGAAGGCCAUCUGCUACAAGU